rnacentral:rRNA from 1 species
UACGGAUGGGACCAGUGUUAUUCGUAAUGAUUGGGCGUAAAGCGCGUGUAGGCGGUUUCUCUUAAGAUCAACUAAAUUGAUAGUAAAAUUUACUCUUAAGUUCGAUUGGAUUGGAAACUAUGAGUUCAGACGGGGAAAGCAGUACGAGCCGAGGAAGGGUGACAUGUGACGAUUCGGCCGGGACUCUCAGUGGCGAAGGCGGCUUUCUAGGAUGUGACUGACGUUGAGACGCAAAAGCGUGGGGAGCAAACAGG